AUUGAACGCUGGCGGCAUGCUUUACACAUGCAAGUCGAACGGCAGCGGGGGCUUCGGCCCGCCGGCGAGUGGCGAACGGGUGAGUAAUGCAUCGGAACGUGCCCAGUCAUGGGGGAUAACUACGCGAAAGCGUAGCUAAUACCGCAUACGUCCUGAGGGAGAAAGCGGGGGAUCUUCGGACCUCGCGCGAUUGGAGCGGCCGAUGUCGGAUUAGCUAGUUGGUGGGGUAAAAGCCCACCAAGGCGACGAUCCGUAGCGGGUCUGAGAGGAUGAUCCGCCACACUGGGACUGAGACACGGCCCAGACUCCUACGGGAGGCAGCAGUGGGGAAUUUUGGACAAUGGGGGCAACCCUGAUCCAGCCAUGCCGCGUGAGUGAAGAAGG
rnacentral:rRNA from 1 species